rnacentral:rRNA from 2 species
AGAAGCUUGCUUCUCUGAUGUUAGCGGCGGACGGGUGAGUAACACGUGGGUAACCUACCUAUAAGACUGGGAUAACUCCGGGAAACCGGGGCUAAUACCGGAUAAUAUUUUGAACCGCAUGGUUCAAUAGUGAAAGACGGUUUCGGCUGUCACUUAUAGAUGGACCCGCGCCGUAUUAGCUAGUUGGUAAGGUAACGGCUUACCAAGGCGACGAUACGUAGCCGACCUGAGAGGGUGAUCGGCCACACUGGAACUGAGACACGGUCCAGACUCCUACGGGAGGCAGCAGUAGGGAAUCUUCCGCAAUGGGCGAAAGCCUGACGGAGCAACGCCGCGUGAGUGAUGAAGGUCUUCGGAUCGUAAAACUCUGUUGUUAGGGAAGAACAAAUUUGUUAGUAACUGAACAAGUCUUGACGGUACCUAACCAGAAAGCCACGGCUAACUACGUGCCAGCAGCCGCGGUAAUACGUAGGUGGCAAGCGUUAUCCGGAAUUAUUGGGCGUAAAGCGCGCGUAGGCGGUUUCUUAAGUCUGAUGUGAAAGCCCACGGCUCAACCGUGGAGGGUCAUUGGAAACUGGGAAACUUGAGUGCAGAAGAGGAGAGUGGAAUUCCAUGUGUAGCGGUGAAAUGCGCAGAGAUAUGGAGGAACACCAGUGGCGAAGGCGGCUCUCUGGUCUGUAACUGACGCUGAUGUGCGAAAGCGUGGGGAUCAAACAGGAUUAGAUACCCUGGUAGUCCACGCCGUAAACGAUGAGUGCUAAGUGUUAGGGGGUUUCCGCCCCUUAGUGCUGCAGCUAACGCAUUAAGCACUCCGCCUGGGGAGUACGACCGCAAGGUUGAAACUCAAAGGAAUUGACGGGGACCCGCACAAGCGGUGGAGCAUGUGGUUUAAUUCGAAGCAACGCGAAGAACCUUACCAAAUCUUGACAUCCUUUGACCGCUCUAGAGAUAGAGUCUUCCCCUUCGGGGGACAAAGUGACAGGUGGUGCAUGGUUGUCGUCAGCUCGUGUCGUGAGAUGUUGGGUUAAGUCCCGCAACGAGCGCAACCCUUAAGCUUAGUUGCCAUCAUUAAGUUGGGCACUCUAGGUUGACUGCCGGUGACAAACCGGAGGAAGGUGGGGAUGACGUCAAAUCAUCAUGCCCCUUAUGAUUUGGGCUACACACGUGCUACCAUUGAUAAUACCAAAGGGCAGCGAAUCCGCGAGGCCAAGCAAAUCCCAUAAAAUUAUUCUCAGUUCGGAUUGUAGUCUGCAACUCGACUACAUGAAGCUGGAAUCGCUAGUAAUCGUAGAUCAGCAUGCUACGGUGAAUACGUUCCCGGGUCUUGUACACACCGCCCGUCGCGACCACGAGAGUUUGUAACACCCGAAGCCGGUGGAGUAAC